rnacentral:rRNA from 1 species
CAUUGGGACUGAGAUACGGCCCAGACUCCUACGGGAGGCAGCAGUGGGGAAUAUUGCACAAUGGGCGCAAGCCUGAUGCAGCGACGCCGCGUGAGGGAUGGAGGCCUUCGGGUUGUAAACCUCUUUUAUCGGGGAGCAAGCGAGAGUGAGUUUACCCGUUGAAUAAGCACCGGCUAACUACGUGCCAGCAGCCGCGGUAAUACGUAGGGUGCAAGCGUUAUCCGGAAUUAUUGGGCGUAAAGGGCUCGUAGGCGGUUCGUCGCGUCCGGUGUGAAAGUCCAUCGCUUAACGGUGGAUCCGCGCCGGGUACGGGCGGGCUUGAGUGCGGUAGGGGAGACUGGAAUUCCCGGUGUAACGGUGGAAUGUGUAGAUAUCGGGAAGAACACCAAUGGCGAAGGCAGGUCUCUGGGCCGUUACUGACGCUGAGGAGCGAAAGCGUGGGGAGCGAACAGGAUUAGAUACCCUGGUAGUCCACGCCGUAAACGGUGGAUGCUGGAUGUGGGGCCCGUUCCACGGGUUCCGUGUCGGAGCUAACGCGUUAAGCAUCCCGCCUGGGGAGUACGGCCGCAAGGCUAAAACUCAAAGAAAUUGACGGGGGCCCGCACAAGCGGCGGAGCAUGCGGAUUAAUUCGAUGCAACGCGAAGAACCUUACCUGGGCUUGACAUGUUCCCGACGGUCGUAGAGAUACGGCUUCCCUUCGGGGCGGGUUCACAGGUGGUGCAUGGUCGUCGUCAGCUCGUGUCGUGAGAUGUUGGGUUAAGUCCCGCAACGAGCGCAACCCUC